rnacentral:rRNA from 1 species
AGUGAACGCUGGCGGUAGGCCUAACACAUGCAAGUCGAACGGCAGCACAGUAAGAGCUUGCUCUUACGGGUGGCGAGUGGCGGACGGGUGGGGAAUACAUCGGAAUCUACUUUUUCGUGGGGGAUAACGUAGGGAAACUUACGCUAAUACCGCAUACGACCUACGGGUGAAAGCAGGGGAUCUUCGGACCUUGCGCGAUUGAAUGAGCCGAUGUCGGAUUAGCUAGUUGGCGGGGUAAAGGCCCACCAAGGCGACGAUCCGUAGCUGGUCUGAGAGGAUGAUCAGCCACACUGGAACUGAGACACGGUCCAGACUCCUACGGGAGGCAGCAGUGGGGAAUAUUGGACAAUGGGCGCAAGCCUGAUCCAGCCAUACCGCGUGGGUGAAGAAGGCCUUCGGGUUGUAAAGCCCUUUUGUUGGGAAAGAAAAGCAGCAGGUUAAUACCCCGCUGUUCUGACGGUACCCAAAGAAUAAGCACCGGCUAACCUCGUG